CGUUUGCAUUUACUGCCUGGGAAAUUGUUCAGUUUCUUCCUAUGGGCUGUCUUUAGAAGACUCACAAGAAGAAAGACAUGCCCACAAAAGUCAAAGACCGUCAAUUAACACACGCAAAUACCGCCUGACAAAAAAGAUUCCACUUCUAGAAAAUUAUUCUAUGGAGGUACUCACAGGCGUGAGAGGUUAUUCAUUAUGGCAUUAUUUGUUAAAGCAAAAGGUUGGAAACAAUCCAUACCGCCCAUCACAAGGAGACUGCUGAAUACAAAUUACGGCCCUUUAUACAAGGGAUGAUUCUGCAAAGCUAAGCAAGAAUGCGGAAGUUCUCUUUCUAUGGCCCCGGGAAGGUCUACAGACUAUAUUGUGCGUUGAAAUUGCAGCUUGCAGAACAGUGUGGCUGAUACGUCACCCUUUGCGUGAAGCUGGGAGGAGCGGAAGAAGUCUUUGUUGCAAAUGCACAAAGGACCCUGGAAGGCGCGGUACGGAGAGACUUAUCAUCUGAGGACACACCCAGGUUCCUGGAAACCAGCUCCAGCAGGGGACUGACGCUCCACUAUCAUUGCUUUUCAUCUCGUAUCGGGGUUCAGCGGAUGAGCAAUGUGGUGACAGUCUCAGGAGAACUACGUUUCCAGGCAUCCAUCCCGCCACAAACUGCCCUCCCACCCGGGCUGGCACCACACUGAGCUGAGUCCACAGAGCUCUGCAGCAGGUCCUUGCUACUUGUCCAUUUAUCAUAGACCAGCACGGACCGUACAGUCCACGGGGUCGCAAAGCAUCGGACACGACUGAACGACUUCACUGCACUUAGUGCUUACGCGUCCAUCCCAAAGGGUCUCUCCCUGUUCUCCCUUCAGCCGG